GAACCUUAUCAGGGCUUAAAUGUAAGUUGCAUGAUUUAGAGAUAGAUCUUUCUUCGGACUACUUACAAGGUGCUGCAUGGUUGUCGUCAGCUCGUGCCGUGAGGUGUCAGGUUAAGUCCUAUAACGAGCGCAACCCCUGUUGUUAGUUGCCAGCGAGUCAAGUCGGGAACUCUAACAAGACUGCCGGUGCAAACCGUGAGGAAGGUGGGGAUGACGUCAAAUCAUCACGGCCCUUACGUCCUGGGCUACACACGUGCUACAAU
rnacentral:rRNA from 1 species